rnacentral:rRNA from 1 species
GACGUAGGGCGCGAGCGUUGUCCGGAUUUAUUGGGCGUAAAGAGCUCGUAGGCGGUCUGUCGCGUCGAUCGUGAAAACUUGGGGGCUUAACCCUGAGCUUGCGGUCGAUACGGGCAUGACUGGAGUUCGGCAGGGGAGACUGGAAUUCCUGGUGUAGCGGUGAAAUGCGCAGAUAAUCAGGAGGAACACCGGUGGCGAAGGCGGGAUCUCUGGGCCGAUACUGACGCUGAGGAGCGAAAGCGUGGGGAGCGAACAGG